AUUGAACGCUGGCGGCAGGCCUAACACAUGCAAGUCGAGCGGAGCGGCGGACGGGUGAGUAAUGCCUAGGAAUCUGCCUGGUAGUGGGGGAUAACGUCCGGAAACGGGCGCUAAUACCGCAUACUAACAGAUGAGCCUAGGCCGGAUGAGUAAGUUGGUGGGGUAAAGGCCUACCAAGGCGACGAUCCGUAACUGGUCUGAGAGGAUGAUCAGUCACACUGGAAUGGAGACACGGUCCAGACGCAUACGGACGGCAGCAGUGGGGAAUAUUGGACAAUGGGGUAAAUCCCGUUCCAGCCAUGCCGCGUGUUGGAAGAAGGUCUUCGGAUUGUAAAGCUCUUUAAGUUGGGAGGCGUUACCAACAGAAUAAGCACCGGCUAACUUCGUGCCAGCCGCCGCGGUAAUAC
rnacentral:rRNA from 1 species